rnacentral:lncRNA from 11 species
CUAGGACCACAGUUAAGAGAUCCAUGCCCAGUGAGCAUCCGCUAAACCAAAUCAGCCAGGACAGAGAAACAUGUUACAGUGACAUCAGGGAAUAUUCCAGAGUUGAUUCUGACAUCAACAGAGGUGCCCAUGCAACUAGGA